AUUUGGAUGAGUUUGUUGUCAAUGAUUUUGAGGACCCUCCGGUUUAUCUGAUCGAGGGUGAUGAGCAGUUGCCUACUGGUUUGCCUGAUUUUGAUGACUUCAAUUUCGAUGGCUACAAUGAAUCCUUUUCUUGGAUGGAUGAUGCUCCACGGACAAAUGGAACACCCCUCAAUAUAGCAUGCCCAUAAUUUUGCAGCUAGGUGACGAGUUUAUGUUUUGAUAGUAUUAGUACAAAAGUGUCAAAAGAGUCG
rnacentral:misc_RNA from 1 species